rnacentral:SRP_RNA from 1 species
GCUGGACACAGUAGUGCAUGCCUAUAACCCCAGCUACACAGGAAACUGAGGCAAGAGAAUGGCUAGAGCUCAGGUCUGGGUUGUAGUGCAAUAUAUUGAGUAGGUAUCUGCACUAAGUUCAGCAUCAGUAUGGUUAUCUCCCAGAAGUGGGGAACCACCAGGUUGCCUAAGGAGGGGUGAACUGGCCCAGGUCAGAAACAGAGCCAGUCAAAACUCCUGUGUUGAUCAGCAGGGAGACUGUGCCUGUGAAGAGCCACUGCACUAUGAUAUGUUGUCUACAAGAAACAUACUUCAUCUAU